rnacentral:lncRNA from 1 species
CUCACUUUGACCGAAGUCAGUAUUUCGUACAAGAAAGCCUUAAUUCUUCAAAACAAAACAAGAUGCUAACAACAGUGCUCUUUUUCUUUCUAACCUUCUCACUGGAAACAGAGCUGAGUGCUGCAGUCAGUUCUGUUGAUCGGUUUGUGCUGAAAGGAAAGUCUAUUAAUCUCGCAGUGGAAGGACUACAAACAGAGAAUGUCCGGAGACUUUCAUGGAAAGUAAACUCAACGCUUAUACUGGAGUACGACCUGAAGGAAAAGAAAGAGACGUACUUUGGCAGUUUUGAGCAGAAGACAAAUUUUAACCCCACAGACUACUCUCUGUACAUUAAGAACCUGAUGGAGGCAGACAGUGGUCUCUACUCUGCUCAAAUUCUUGACAAUAAUAGAAAAUCCACCUAUCACACCAAGUAUAACUUACAUGUCCAGGAAGCUGUACCCAAACCCAUCCUAAAUCUGAUGUUACUCCAUCUCAACUCCUCUGGAACAGUUUGCAAUGUGUCAGUGAACUGCUCAGUUGGACACAACUGGGUCUCCUGCACCUGUGAUCAGGACCAGUGUAAACAUGUGGAACUCCAGUCAGAUGUGAACAUCAGUGUUACUGCUAACAAGGGUACCAUCACCUGUACAGGCAGCAAUCUGGUCAGCAGUGAAACCCAAUCAGAAGUGAUGGAACCUCUAUGUUUACAUGCCUUUCCAGUGGUACAUUCUGGAUUCUCUUGGUGUAUAUUGAAGAUGGUGCUGUUCUCUCUGGGUUUAGCCAUAAUGAUAACAGCCGUCAUCUUUACCCACUGCAGAAAGUGAUUCGGCAGUCAAUCCAUACAAUGUGGUGAAGGCAAGAACAAAUUUCCUUCAAGAGCUUCUCUGGCCUAAGAUCCAAACAACAUCACAAUCUUCGACCUCAUGUCUUCUGACAGUUCCUCCCGCAGAGGCUCUGAAAUUCCACAAAUUUUGCCAUCCACCACAAUGUGGCAAAAUAAACUUAAUCUCUUCAUCCA